rnacentral:rRNA from 1 species
GACGAACGCUGGCGGCGUGCUUAACACAUGCAAGUCGAACGGAAAGGCCCUGCUUUUGUGGGGUGCUCGAGUGGCGAACGGGUGAGUAACACGUGAGUAACCUGCCCUUGACUUUGGGAUAACUUCAGGAAACUGGGGCUAAUACCGGAUAGGAGCUCCUGCUGCAUGGUGGGGGUUGGAAAGAUUCGGCGGUGUGGGAUGGACUCGAGGGUUAACAGCUUGUUGGUGGGGUAGUGGCUUACCAAGGCUUCGACGGGUAGCCGGCCUGAGAGGGUGACCGGCGACAUGGGUACUGCGAUACGGACCAGUCUCCUACGGGAGGCAGCGGUGGGAAAUAUUGCGCAAUGGGCGGAAGCCUGUUGCGGCAACGCCGCGUGCGGGAUGCCGGCCUUCGGGUUGUAAACCGCUUUCGACUGUGACGAAGCGUGAUUGACGGUAAUGGGUAAAGAAGCACCGGCUAACUACGUG